AGAGUUUGAUCAUGGCUCAGAAUCAACGCUGGCGGCGUGCCUAACACAUGCAAGUCGAGCGAGAAAAGGGGAGCAAUCCUCUGAGUACAGCGGCGCACGGGUGAGUAACACGUGGGUAAUCUGCCCUGGAGUGGGGAAUAACACCGGGAAACCGGUGCUAAUACCGCAUACGAUCACGAGGUCUGCGGAUUUUGUGAUGAAAGGAGCAAUUCGCUCCAGGAGGAGCCCGCGGCUGAUUAGCUAGUUGGUGAGGUAAUGGCUCACCAAGGCAACGAUCAGUAUCCGGUCUGAGAGGACGGCCGGACACACUGGAACUGAGACACGGUCCAGACUCCUACGGGAGGCAGCAGUGGGGAAUUUUUGGCAAUGGGGGCAACCCUGACCAAGCAACGCCGCGUGGGUGAUGAAGUCUCUUGGGACGUAAAACCCUUUCGACGGGGAAGAAAACCGCAAGGUUUGACGGUACCCGUAGAAGAAGCCCCGGCUAACUCCGUGCCAGCAGCCGCGGUAAUACGGGGGGGGCAAGCGUUGUUCGGAAUUACUGGGCGUAAAGGGCGCGUAGGCGGUUCGCUAAGUUGGAUGUGAAAACUCUGGGCUCAACCCAGAGCCUGCAUCCAAAACUGGCGGGCUAGAGUUCUGGAGGGGGUAGCGGAAUUCCUGGUGUAGCGGUGAAAUGCGUAGAUAUCAGGAGGAACACCGGUGGCGAAGGCGGCUACCUGGACAGAAACUGACGCUGAGGCGCGAAAGCUAGGGGAGCAAACAGGAUUAGAUACCCUAGUAGUCC
rnacentral:rRNA from 1 species